AACGAACGCUGGCGGCAUGCCUAACACAUGCAAGUCGAACGAGAACUCCGGGCCUGGUGGCGCACGGGGGCGUGAAGCGGGGGAAACUGCGCUUAUGAUCGGAAUAACUCCCCGAGAGAGGUGGUAAUACCGGGGAAUAUUAUCGGACCAAAGGUUUAUCGCCUUUGGAUGGGGCCGCGUUGGGUUAGCUGGUUGGUAUGGUAAACGGCUACCAAGGCGACGAUCCAUAGCUGGGCUGAGAGGCUGAUCAGCCACUCUGGGACUGGGACACGGCCCAGACUCCUACGCGAGGCAGGAGUGGGGAACAUUGGACAACCGGCGGAAGCCUGAACCAGCAAUGGCGCGUGAGCGCUUAAGGCCUUAGGGUUGUAAAGCCCUUUUACCCGGGAUGAUAAUGACAGUACCGGGAGAAUAAGCUCCGGCUAACUCCGUG
rnacentral:rRNA from 1 species